AUUGUCUUGUACACUUGGAAAAAAAAAAUCUCCCACUCACUGUAAACAUAAACCGUAUUAAGAAAAAAGAGUUACGAUACUCUCUUUUUCUUCUUCUCCUCCGCCACAGAACAACGAAAUUGACAAGAGGAGGAUGUCCGGAAGUUGUGAACAGCUCAGUUGGGUCGGAUCGAGGAAGAAACCCGACAACUCUCCACCAUCCGCGAGAGGCGAACCCACGGCGGAGCUUCUCUUCGUCGGUAGCGGAGAGGGAGAAGACAGAGGAAGAGGACGACGCGGUGAAGAUAUAUGAGCAACGGUGGUUUGUUCGUGCAAGACGCUUGCGAAUCAUCUCACCAACUGUGGUUUUCAGUCUACUCCUCGAGAUGAGAGGGUGCAGCAGUCUCUGUUAAUAUCUUUGAUCCUUUUUUUUUUGCUGUUGAAUGAUGAUUCAGGAUGUUUGAUAACUUGUUUAGAUUUGUUCUCAAUAAUCAUCAGAGUAGGGAUUCGAGCAGCUGAUUCAGGGGAUGAUUAAACCGUAUAAAGAGAUCGUGUAAUCAAGGCGUUUAUGAUUCAACGUGGGGAUAAUUCGGCAAUGAUGGGACUGGUGGUGGUGAAUCUAUCUAUGGCUGGGACAAGAGAGAGCUUUCCUGAUUCUUGAUGAUACAGAGAAUGCAGCUACGGUAACACACAACGAUAAGUAUUAAGGAAGAUGCACAUGAUGAUAAGAAGCAAAGGGAGCUGAUUCAUCUUGCUACUCAGCUGAUUCAUCUUUGGAACCUGAUGGACACUCCUGAUGAAGAAAGGGAGCUGUUUUGAUCACUUUACUUGUAAUCAUAUCAAAUAUAUAUAUGUUAGCUUCGGUCAAUUUUAUUUUAUUACCAAACUACAGUUGUUGUUGUUGUGUUGCUGUAUUUGUAAAACUACAAUGCAAAAUGCCAUAACUUUUUAUGAAAA